CUGCUAUCGGAUUGAUACUAAGCCAUGCGAGUCAUUGUAGCAAUACAAGGCAUACGGCUCAGUAACGCGUAGUCAACCUAACCUAUGGACGGGAAUAACCUCGGGGAACUGAGAAUAAUGCCCGAUAGAACAUUAUGCCUGGAAUGGUUUAUGUUCCAAAUGAUUUAUCGCCGUAGGAUGGGACUGCGGCCUAUCAGUUUGUUGGUGAGGUAAUGGCCCACCAAGACUAUUACAGGUACGGGCUCUGAGAGGAGUAGCCCGGAGAUGGGUACUGAGACACGGACCCAGGCCCUAUGGGGCGCAGCAGGCGAGAAAACUUUGCAAUGUGCGAAAGCACGACAAGGUUAAUCCGAGUGGUUUCUGCUAAAGGAACCUUUUGUCAGUCCUAGAAACACUGAUGAAUAAGGGGUGGGCAAGUUCUGGUGUCAGCCGCCGCGGUAAAACCAGCACCUCAAGUGGUCAGGAUGAUUAUUGGGCCUAAAGCAUCCGUAGCCGGCUCUGUAAGUUUUCGGUUAAAUCUGUACGCUCAACGUACAGGCUGCCGGGAAUACUGCAAAGCUAGGGAGUGGGAGAGGUAGACGGUACUCGGUAGGAAGGGGUAAAAUCCUUUGAUCUAUUGAUGACCACCUGUGGCGAAGGCGGUCUACCAGAACACGUCCGACGGUGAGGGAUGAAAGCUGGGGGAGCAAACCGGAUUAGAUACCCGGGUAGUCCCAGCUGUAAACCAUGCAAACUCAGUGAUGCAUUGGCUUGUGGCCAAUGCAGUGCUGCAGGGAAGCCGUUAAGUUUGCCGCCUGGGAAGUACGUACGCAAGUAUGAAACUUAAAGGAAUUGGCGGGGGAGCACCACAAGGGGUGAAGCCUGCGG
rnacentral:rRNA from 1 species